rnacentral:rRNA from 1 species
GACGAACGCUGGCGGCGUGCCUAAUACAUGCAAGUAGAACGCACAGUUUAUACCGUAGCUUGCUACACCAUAGACUGUGAGUUGCGAACGGGUGAGUAACGCGUAGGUAACCUGCCUGGUAGCGGGGGAUAACUAUUGGAAACGAUAGCUAAUACCGCAUAAUAUUAAUUAUUGCAUGAUAAUUAAUUGAAAGGUGCAAUUGCACCACUACCAGAUGGACCUGCGUUGUAUUAGCUAGUAGGUGAGGUAACGGCGCACCUAGGCGACGAUACAUAGCCGACCGGCGAGGGUGAGCGGCCACCCUGGGACUGGGACACGGCCCAGACGCCUUCGGGAGGCAGCAAGAGGGAAUCGUCAGCAAUGAGCGGAAGUCUGACCGAGAAACGCCGCGUGAGUGAAGAAGGUUUUCGGAUCGUAAAGCUCGGUUGUAAGAGAAGAAAGGGUGUGAGAGUGGAAAGUUCACACUGUGACGGUAUCUGACCAGAAAGGGACGGCUAACUACGUG